UUAAUUUUAUUUGGAAAGAAAAAAAGUCACAGAUCAAAGUUUGCGUUCAGCUUCUCCCAAAAAUAAAACACACUGCGUUUUCUACCGAUCUCUCUCUCGAUUCUAGGUUUUGCUCUCUCUCGAUCUCUCUCCCGAUCUCGUUUCCCUCUCAAUUUGGAUCUCGCUUCCGAUCUCGAUUUCUCUCUCUCUUUGGAUCUCGUUCUCACUCUCGAUAACACGUUCUCGUCGAGGUUUUCUAACUUGAUUUUGACAGUAUUGAUUUUGACAAUACUUGAUUUUGAAAGUUAUCUAACUUGAUUAAAGAAACUUUGGGGCAAAAUCUCUUCAUUUUGGGUACCUUGGACACAAGUGAGCAAGUCAAGGCCAUUGUUGUUAAUCGCUGACUUUGUCGACAGAAACCGUAAGCUUUUCUCAGGGAUCAGUGCAUUUUUCCUUAGCCUGAUAUCUUAGUAUGACAAUCCGAGGUAGAGGAGGUACGUAGACGGAGUCAAGAGAGUGGUCGCAAUCAACUUCACUCUUCACCUUUGCGAGGUGUGCAUAUUGACCGGAACAAAAGGCAAAGGUUAGGGAUGGUUGAUGCAUUAAAGCAUAAGCAUAAAUUCACUUAUGAUUUUGAAGAUCUCUAUGAUGAUAUUGAAGAUGAAGAGACGCAAUUAAUCAAGAAGAGAAAUUAUCAACGACAAUUACUCAAGCGCCAAAAAAUUGAUGCAUAUAAUGUAAAAGAAGGUAAAGGAGUGAGUUUUGAAAUUUCCAACAAUAUGGGACAAUCUAGUAGAAGAAUUAUAUACAAUCAAGGGAGAGAGCGUAAUGACCGACCAGAACCUUCUCAGUCUUGCACUAGUCCAGCACCACCACCUCCACGUGCACAAUUCUGCAGAGGUAUUUCUCUACUGCGACUUGUUUAUCAUUAAUGUCAUAAAGUUGCACCAUGACAAUACAUUCAUCAUGUAUACUUUUUCGGUGUAGACUAAAUAUUAUUUGUUUAGUGCUAAAGUUGUUUCCAGUAGCACUAUCUAAUUUAAUAUAUCUACAUUGCUGGACCUGUCUUAGGUAUCUCUUCCACAAAACUUGAACCACAUUGGUCAAGUCACUAAGAUGUGUCUUUAAAGGGAAAAAGAAUCUUGAAAUUCUAUAAACAGUUCUCUUCUGUUUAAUUUCCAACAGUAUAUAAUAGCCAGAGCUUGAUAGAGAAUUUGAGAGCAUAUUUAACUGAGUUUUCAUCAAAUUUAACAGAGGUUAUCCCUCAAGUUUCUUGCCUUUUCUUCAGCAGAAAAUUGUUAUAUACUUGAACUUUGUCAUGUUAGAAACUAUAUUUCAUUCAAAGAUGUGUUUGUGUCUGAUGUUUGUGGUCGACACUAAGGGUCAUGGUCCCAAAGGAAUGAAGGCAGAGGUAUGGGACGGUUUGGUUGACAUUUGAUUGAAACCAGAGUGGAAGAAGAAAUCCGAUGCAAAUCGUUGUAACAGGGCUGCCUUACCUGAUGCAGUGUUGCACACAUGAGGUUCUAUUAACUUAGGUGAACAUAAGAAAAGGAUGGUAAGUUCUGAUGAGAUUUUAUGUGUUUAUAGUUGUCCUGUUUAUCAUCUUAAAAUGUUUCGAAGCAAUAUCUAUUUCAAUUCUUUAAACGCAUAUUUGCCAUGAGCUGCCAAUUUAGAAUAUUUUGGAUGUCUUUAAGUUUUCGGAGUCCUUGAAAAUUAUUUGGAACUCUUCUGAUUGUAAUCAGCAUUCAGUCUUAUGAAGCAUUGGUGUAUUAUGAUAUGAUUUUCAUUAGUGGUUCUCUGGAUCUCUGAUCUGCUACUAAAUUUAGUUUAUUUGUCAUGCUGACUGAGGGAGAAGGAACUGAAGUUAUUCAAAGUUGAUGACUUGUUAUUGUAUUCAAGUGUUUCCUUGAUCUCAGUAUUAGGUUAGUUAAUGGUAUUUCCACUUAUGAUCAAUAGUACUUCAUACAGCUCGUUAAGUAGAUAAACUACUGUCCCUAUGUCAAAUAAGCUUGCCUUCAAGCUGAGUUAUAUACGUGAGAAUGGUAGGGUUAAAACUAUUAGUUGCUUCUCAUACUGUAAUUAGCAUUCAAUCUUCAUAUUUUGAUAUGUUCUCACUAUUAAGUGACCUUAAUUUGGCAAUACUGACUAGUUAGGCAGAACCCAUAAUAUAAUGUUCUUCUUUUGUGUUACUUUUUUGUUUGCUAAAUCUUAAAUAAAUUAAUAUGUUGGAUUUAGGUUUGAAUGGAAAUAAAUGUGUAAGCACUUUUUGAUACUUGAUAUAUUCCUUUGUUUAUGUUUAGGCUGUGGACUCUAUAAUGUAAAUUGUGGUUUAUGAAUACUGUAAGCAGUAUUGUUUGUUUUAGAGAGAUAUUGUCUAAAUAUAACACAUGAUUGGAUCUUUUUAAAUGUGAAUUGCAGGAGGAGGAGUUGAAACAUACAGUUUCGUUUAGAGACGUGUAUGCUCGAGUUCAUAAGAAAAAAGAUGGAGAAUAUGUCUUUCAACGGUCGAAGUUAUUUGUUGAGUCAUAUGACACGGCUAUAGUGGAAAAGUAUGGAGAAAACACAUUUGGCGCCGAUGUUGGAGCCAAUCCUUUCAUUGAUUCAAUCCAUGCCAAAAGCACCCAUGCAAAGUGAAGUACCUAAAAAAACUCAUGCAGAUACAAGGUGAAAGAAUGUUUUCCAAUCUAUUUCGAAAACCGGAGUUAAUAUGGAACCUGAGUUGUGAUUUCUGAAUUGGAAAUAAAAUAGAAUAUUAUUGUAAUGUAUAAUGUUUUAGUGUUGUUAAAUAUAUUAAAAACUUGAUUUUUGAAUAUUAUUGUGAUGUAUAUUGUUUAAGUGUUGUUAAAUAUAUUAAAAAAAUUAAUUUUUUGGGUUAUUUAAUUAUUAGUGUAUUUUUUGAAUAUUAUUGUGAUGUAUAUUGUUUAAG